AGGACCAGUGGCCAGGGCAAGCCGCCCAAUGGACACACCGGGCCCGUUUUAGGUUUGCAUUCCGAGGGCGAGACAGGGUGGAAACGCAGCCAAGGGAAAUUAAUUAGAGCAGAAUAACUUUCCCAUGUUUUCCUGUGCAAAUGGAGCCAAGGCCAGGGAGCUCUGCGGUGGGGGCUGACUGUGCUGGGGAGCGUCGGGCGCUUGUGAUUUCAGGAAGGAACAGCCGAGUGGGAGUCGGGAGAGGCACUGCACUGCCAGCCCAGCCCGGAGAGGGGGUCCUGCAGCCAAGAGGCCCAGUGACAGGGAGCACUGAGCCUGAGACCCCAAGAGAGCCCCAAUCUCAUCACACAGUGAAUCAUCUGCACGGCCGCCAACGGAGACAAGGGACACCGUUCCCACCCUCAACCACGUCGAAGUCCUCACCCCCUUGCCUCUGGACGUGACCUCACAUGGACCCGGGGUCUUUGCAGAUGUCAUGAGAAGCCACCGUCAGGUCCCACGCCUGUUCUUCUGAAGCCUGUAAACUUCAAAUAGAUCCCCACCAUCUCGCACAACAGGCGUUUCACAUGGAUUUCUGAGCGGUUAAGGGUCUGUACCCAGAAGGACACCCAGCAAGAGUGCGUUGCUGUUACUGCCUGGCGGGGGACAGCCGCCUGCGGGCGAGGGCACUGGUGUCCUCUCAGGAGAGACCCGGGUCCACGUGGGGAAUCAGAGUGCUGUUUGGCAGGUGAGGAGCUGAGGGCUGCAUCGUGCGGAGUGGCUGGCUUCACAGUCAACCGAGGCCCUCCAUCCACGGUCUAAAGAGCAUCGGGUCAGUAAACAGGGCCACGAGAGACCAGGGUGCAUGACCCAUGACCUCAAAGGCAGGAGUCCACAGGGGAGGUGGAGCAAUUCGGGAAGGAGCCGCUGAUGAGGGCGUGUGGGUGGGGCGG